UGGCGGCGUGCCUAACACAUGCAAGUCGAACGGAGUUAUAUGAAGUUUUCGGACGGAAUAUAACUUAGUGGCGGACGGGUGAGUAACGCGUGGGUAACCUGCCUCAUACAGGGGGAUAACAGCCGGAAACGGCUGCUAAAACCGCAUAUUAUGCGAAUGCCGCAUGGCAACCGUAUGAAAUAUUUAUAGGUAUGAGAUGGGCCCGCGUCUGAUUAGCUAGUUGGUAGGGUAAUGGCCUACCAAGGCGACGAUCAGUAGCCGGCUUGAGAGAGUGACCGGCCACAUUGGGACUGAGACACGGCCCAAACUCCUACGGGAGGCAGCAGUGGGGAAUAUUGCACAAUGGGGGAAACCCUGAUGCAGCGACGCCACGUGAGUGA
rnacentral:rRNA from 1 species